GACGAACGCUGGCGGCGUGCCUAAUACAUGCAAGUCGAGCGGACGAAUCGAAAGCUUGCUUUUGAUUCGUUAGCGGCGGACGGGUGAGUAACACGUGGGCAACCUGCCCUGUAGACGGGGAUAACACCGAGAAAUCGGUGCUAAUACCGGAUAACACGAAAUGUCGCAUGACGUUUCGUUGAAAGACGGCGCAAGCUGCCGCUACAGGAUGGGCCCGCGGCGCAUUAGCUAGUUGGUGAGGUAACGGCUCACCAAGGCGACGAUACGUAGCCGACCUGAGAGGGUGAUCGGCCACACUGGGACUGAGACACGGCCCAGACUCCUACGGGAGGCAGCAGUAGGGAAUCUUCCGCAAUGGACGAAAGUCUGACGGAGCAACGCCGCGUGAGCGAAGAAGGCCUGCGGGUCGUAAAGCGCUGUUGUUAGGGAAGAACAAGUAACGCAGUAACUGGCGUUACCGUGACGGUACCUAACGAGAAAGCCACGGCUAACUACGU
rnacentral:rRNA from 1 species